UUUGCGUUCCAACUAAACAAACAGCGGGGUCCUAGCACGCCUCCAUCGUGGAAUUCUCGGUGGUGUUUUACGACGACCGGGAAUCGAUAGAGAGUUGGCGUGUUCCGUUCUAACGAGCCCUAACAAAGCAGUAAUAUAUAUACGCCGUUCUUGUAAACACAGCGUCGCGUUAGAAAACGCUUGUGGACUGUUAGAAUUUCUAACGUCUUCUCCGUGCUACCGUAUAUGUAAUUUCUGCAGAGGAAAAGAGGAAAGAAAAGACUGUCGCGACGUAGUCACGUUGCGAGAUUUCUGAUUCAUCGCAGAAAUUCCAAUACGCUUACGCGCGAACGUUUAUGCGGUUUACGCGGAAUCCGCGGGUGCUCGAGCACCGAAGUAUCGAUCCUCAGUCGACUUUUUCUGCUCCUUGAACGUGGUCACGAAGGUCGCUUCUUGUUCGACGACUCCAAAUUCCAUUUUCAGAAGCUGCCUUCUCAGAACUUUCUACUUUUCUCCAUUUGGAUCAUUAUAACGUUCUGUUCUCUGUACAAGAUGUAUCGUUGAACGUGGAAUUUAAUUCGAGUUAAGUUUCUGUUUUACAUUCAGAUUUCCUCAUGUUGUAAAUUUAUUUCCUCAUGUUUUGAAGAUAUGACAGAUGCGUUUAUAUAUCUUGACAAGACUUACGAUUUGAUCGUUUUUAAUAUUUAGUGCUCGAUAAUAAAACUUUAAUCGUGUUUAUAAAGACAUAGAAUUAAUUUACGCACUCAACAGGAAUACCAAGUUUCCUGUACUAUUAUCAUUAUGAUUUUUAUUACUACUAUAUGAGUCAGCGAAUCAUCGAGUAGUUUUUAAAGAUAUUAGCUGUCACGGUCGUCAUAUGAAGAUCACAGGAAUAAAUUUCUAGCAAUUUUCUACUAUCGAUAGUAACCUUCAAAUAAUGAAAUUUUUUACAUGAAUAUUUUUCGCCUAUUCAUUAACAAUGACCUUAAACCUACAUAAGGUUAAAAAUUUGUUAAAAAACAGUUGGCAGUUAAUAGAUUGUAAAUGAUACGAAUGAAUAAUUCACACUUUGUGGUUUUCAUGUUUAUAAGAUAAAACAGGCAGCUCUAAUGAAACAUUUUUGUCGCACAACAAGUCGAUCAUGUUAUCGGUCGUGUUUAUAUAACGAAGCGAGUGAAGUAGCGCGUUCCUAUCGAAUCCAAGUUACCAAUGACGGCCGUAGUCUAAAGAGGAACUGCAUUCGAUCGUCAGAGCGUGUGUUUUCUUCGUUGGCGGCGGCUAAUGAAAGAGAAAAUAAUAUGGAAGAUAAGAAAAAGCGUGUAAACGACCGCAUACAAGUGUCAAAGGGAGGGUCUGUCGCUCGUCAGGAACUAGUUCAAAAAAGAAGCCACCCUGUCACUGAAACAUCAAUAACUUCCAGCCGGUUGUUCGAACCGAAAUACACGUCAGGAUAUUCCUGCUUAGGAGUUCGAGUGCGUUAAAAGUAUCCUGUCGUUAGAACAAUCCCUAUCUACAUAUGUAUGGAACCACUUCCAACGGUUAUGAUGAGAUAGAGAUAUGAUCGUGAAUGGAAACCUUAAAAUGUCUUAUUACAAUGGAUAUAAUUGUAAGAUAAUUCUUUGUAUUAGAAAAGGAAAAAAAGUGCUCAUGGAUCGAUGUUAGUUAUGCGAGUUAAAAAGUAGGUUGUGAAAAAACAUGAAAGUAUAGUGUACAAACAAGUAAGUGUAAAUCCUGUACAUUUCUCGUCAUACAUUUAUGCACCCUCUGAAUUUCUAGAUUUCUGAAAUGCUAAAUAAUAAUGAAAGUUCGUAGUAUUCGAGUGAUAAAUGAUCAAAGUACCAAAAUGAGCAAAAAUUUGAAUUGUUCGAUUCAAGUAACUGUAGCUGUUAGAUUCGAGUCUUUUGCAUAAUUAAAUUUACUCAGUAAUCGAAUAACGAAGAAUAAAAGGAGACAGUGAAGCUGGAAGAAUUAACAGUUUCCCUCCGGGAAGCCAAAAAAACAUGCUUCAUGUAAACGAAUCGUCCUAAUGGGGAAGUUAACAGGCAGGAAUUCGACGAAGAGGAAGUCCACCCCGCGCUAAAUGAAAAUCCAGCGAGUAAUCUGGCGUAUCGAGCGUGAAACAUAAAAAAUUUCGGGGGAAGAGAAAUUGAGGAAGAGCACCAGAAUGGAAUGGAUACACCAUCUGCUUACAGGGUGCGUUAUAAUGAAGGGUCUUUCCUUAACAGGAAUUCAUCAAGCCCUUCAUAAACCUCCGUCGUGCUUCGAAGAAUGCACUUUCGGUACACUUAUGAGUUUUCAACCAGCAAACUCAAAUUUCAAUCGCCAGAAAAUGAAAGUCAAUCUAAGUCUCUCUUUGACUUUGAUCUUUUUUUAGUAGAGCAGUCACCCGUAAAUUUCCAUGGCAAAUUUCUGCGUAGAUAAAAGUGGCUGAUUCGUCAAUGUACUAAAAAUAGACACGGUAUCGCGAAUUUAUCGUUAUCAAUGGCUGAAGUAGAACAGCAAACCCACUCUCGCGAGCAUGACACCCGUUAUAUCACGUAUCCCCGUUUCUAAGCAAGGUAAACGACACCUUUCAACGGAAAUGCUAUUGAACGGCCUUGCUGCUUUUCUAAUCAGCUAACAGAUUCCUGUGCUUACAUAAUUAACAUAGCUAAAACCUAAAAUUAUAUUUUCUACGAGAUUACGCGUGUGAGCUUUAAUAGAGGCUGACACUUGGUAAUAUAUUGGUGAACGAAACUAAGAAGUUGAAAUUAGGGAGAACGAACGAGAGAUCGCGUUUCUCAAGCAUGGAAAUUUCUCUGGAAAAGUGAGACUUCUCCUUUCGCAAUCUGGCCCCAUUCAGGUCAAAGAGAGCUGAGCGGCUGAUCUUUCGGAAUCCGGAAAUGGCAAGGGAUUAUGAGAAGUGGUGCGCUUUAUAAUUAGAGCGCGAACAAAAUAGUGUGGUGUUGGCUCGAAGAUCGUGUAGAAUUUCUUCGUGUCGAGUGUCCCACGCCAAUGGAACCACACAACUAGUAGCGAUAUUCAUUUUCUGACACCCUCUCUAAUCUGUUUACUUAUUUGACGUCACGCCUUUGCGUCAGUUUUAUUAGAAUAAUACACAUUAUUACGCCUCCCGUCUAUUUUUUCGCAGAUCUUUUUACUCCAAAAAAUUUUUGGGACAGCAACUGAUACCUACAAACCAUGUAUUACUACCAGAAUUUUUGAAAACUAUUAGAAUUAUUUAGAAUGAUGAAGCAUUAUUGUUAGAAGAUAAGACAAUCGGAGGUUGAAAAUUAAGGAUUAUUAAAAAUUAUUGGGAAUUACCGAGCAAUAUUAUAAUUAUUUAGAAUUACUAAAAAUUAUUAGAAUUAUGUAUAAUUAUUAUUAGAAAGUACGAUAAUCGGAGAAUGAAGCUCAAACUAAAAUAUCGAUUAAGGUUUUCGUUCAUGUAUGUACACAGUAUACAACAGAUGGCACAAGGAAACGCGAGAUAUGGCGAAGACAAUACGCUAACAAUUCGCACAGAGACUCCUGAAUUCUCCCCUUGGUUUCGUCACGACGUAGUUCGACGUCUGUUCAUUAAUUUUCAUGCGAGCUCACGUACACGUGGUGCAUGACCUCGGUUUGAAUGGUGGCAGUAUCAGCCAGUCCCAGGUAGGACCUCUCAUAAUAAAUUCCUUAUUCCAGAAGUCCAUUGAAUCCUGAACGACGGUCCGUCUUUACCCCUUUCCUUGCUGGCACGUGCUUUUCGAUUCUCAGCUGCCAUGUUCCUCUCUACAGGGUGUUCAGGUGCUGUUGCUGUUCGAGCACGUGUCCCCACUCUCUGAUUUCCGGCCAAAGAAAAGAAAGAGAGAAAAACGAAGGAGGAGGAUCUGGCGACGCUUAGAACAAAAACUCGACCCUGAAUGGCAGUAAUUCGUGUCCUCCACCUCAUCUUUUCGCUCCUCCAAGCUGUGAAACAAUUGUUCUGCACGGUUGCCUCUCCUUCUAAGGAAAUCAAGGUCGCGCAGCUUCGUUCGAAGCAAUUUCAUUGGGUCAGAAGCAAGAUUCUCGAUAGAAAGUGAUUUCAUUGGAACUCGUGCAGUUGAUAUUGCUACAGAGAUCUUGUUCCCUGUGAGUUGAAGGUAGAUUGUGACAAGGAUACCUAAUAGAGACAAAUAUCGUACAGUUGUAAUAAAAAUAACAGCGAUCCUGUUGCUGCCACGUUUCAUAAACGACAAAAGGUUCGCUGACCAGGUACAAUACGACCUGUUACAUGAUCG